AAAUAUAGUUAAGGAGUCAAACUUAUUCAUUCACAUACAUAUCUUCCAUAUAUAAAAAGACACUUUACCUAAUUUUUCUGCCAUCAUUGAAUUACAAAUUUACACCUUUCUCAAUUAUGCCUCAAAAAAGAAAAGAAACAAAUAAAAUAAAAGAAAAGAAGGGUAAAAAGCUCUUACUUAAAAGCUUAAUUAUUUGAUUAAAUUUAUAUGAAAUUGACCUCUAAAUUUGGUUAGGGGGGUUUG
rnacentral:lncRNA from 1 species